GGAUGGAGAGGAUGCUUUCGGUUUAUGAAUGUUUGUGGUGGGAUGGAGGUGUUUGAUGGUUCUCUUAAGAGCUUGGGCCAACUCUAGAGGAAGGUGGUUAGAGGAGACCACAUAAGAUGCUCUAACCUUGACUUUAGAGAUUAAUAGAAUGACUCAAUAUUUUGGUAGCAUUUCAUUACUAAUCUCAAAUUUGGUUUACAAGAGGAGAGGGGGGACACCUUUAUUUAUAGAUGAAGGUGUCUCCAAAGUAAACCAAAGCCCUACAGUGCUAUCGUGCACCAAACCCUAAAAAUCCUAUCUUGGUGAAGGAGAACUUAACAUGUGACACUCUAACUUUUAGAAAAACUCUUCACUCCUAGAGUGCCAUGUGGAAAGUCACUUUAGCAAAAGUUCUCCAUUAGGAAAAUGACACAUGAUCACUACCUUUG
rnacentral:lncRNA from 1 species